AUGAUGGUUGAAGCAGCGGCGAUGCGUGAUGGUCUAGUGUUUGCAAACUCCCUAGGGUUUCCUCGUGUGGAGGCGAAAUCAAAUUCCUUAAACGUCAUAAACUUUUGUGAUGGCCAAUCUAGAUGGUGGGAUGCUGCAACAGCAAUUUUCGCAGAAUGUGUGGAUGUUUCUUCUUUAAUAGGGAAGGUUGUCUUCAAGCAUUGUUUUCAUUCUUCCAAUCAAGCAGCGCAUGUGCUAGCUAACUUUUCUUAUUGUAAUAAGACCUUUUUAAACUGGAUAGACGAGCCCCCGGGUUGUCUGAUCUCAUCGCUUGUGGACGAUGUAAUGCCUAUGUUAAAUCAAUAA
rnacentral:rRNA from 1 species